GCCUACGGGGGGCAGCAGUAGGGAAUCUUCCACAAUGGGCGAAAGCCUGAUGGAGCAACGCCGCGUGGGUGAAGAAGGUCUUCGGAUCGUGAAACCCUGUAGUUAGAGAAGAAAGUGCGUGAGAGUAACUGUUCACGUUUCGACGGUAUCUAACCAGAAAGCCACGGCUAACUACGUGCCAGCAGCCGCGGUAAUACGUAGGUGGCAAGCGUUAUCCGGAUUUAUUGGGCGUAAAGGGAACGCAGGCGGUCUUUUAAGUCUGAUGUGAAAGCCUUCGGCUUAACCGGAGUAGUGCAUUGGAAACU
rnacentral:rRNA from 1 species